GUUUAUUAACGCCGGCACAAGUAACCACUUGAAUUUCUUCGCAGCUUGCUCCAGUCACAAAUGUUAUUUGGUCAGUUUAUGUGAAGCUUUAGGCAGAUGCCAUGCACUCUGAAUUUUCCCGGGUUCAGGUUUUUUCCACAUCAGCAAUGGUUUUUGGGGUGUCUGCAGACAGGAUCAGAGGGACCCCUUCCUCUUGGAUAAUGACAUCAUCCUCUAUCC